GCCAGCAGCCAAAUCACCCUGUAGCCCAAGACUGGUUGCCCACUGAAGCUAAGCAGGGCUGAGCCUGGUCAGUACCUGGAUGGGAGACCUCCUGAGAAAACUAGGUUGCUGCUGGAA
rnacentral:rRNA from 1 species